GCCGGGAAUUGAACCCAGAACCUUCCUGCUGCAAGGCAACAGCUCUACCAACUGUGCCACUGUGCAGCCCACAUUACAAUCAAAGUAUCUAAACUUUUUAGAACCAGUACCYCCAAAUGAACCACCCAAUUCAGGGGAUGCUGCAGGUAACCAAAGAAACCCCAAAAUUACAGGUAAACAACCUGGUUGUCCAUUACAAAAAGAAGCAAUACAUUCCAGGUGAGUCAUGUUGUUUUCUCUUCAUGGCAGGAAAGAAGGUCCAAAAGACCAAGUAGACGAUGUGGCUUCCAAACAAGGCCCCAGGAAAACAGCGAGGCGUACCCAGGAUUUCAGUUUCCACCGAAGAAACAAUAUAAUCCCCAGGUCAUGCAAAAACAAGUGAAAGUGACAAACCAUCCGUAAAAUUGUAUUUAGAACCUCCACAUCCUCUUACAUGCCGAACCCUUAGAAACUGCAUGAUAACAAAAACCUCUGUCCAUCCGUCCAUUUUCCUCUGCUGUUUCUGGGUCAUGRGGUAACAGCUUCAGAAAGGAGGCCCAGACUUCCCUCUCCCCAGCCACUUCUUCCAGCUCCUCGGGGGGAAUCCCAAGGKGUUCCCAGGCCAGCCGAGAGACA